rnacentral:rRNA from 1 species
CCUGAGAAACCCAAAAGAUCGAAUGGGGAGAUUCAGCGUCAGCGGUGCUGGUGAGCAAGUGGUUCGCGAUGUUGGAGACCUCGGUCUCGUAGCACGCGUCCGUUUACAUUCCGGUAUCGUCGGCGUGCACUUCUCCCCUAGUAGGACGUCGCGACCCGUUGGGUGUCGGUCUACGGCCCGGGUGGGUGCCUGUCUCGUGUGGCGCUUCACGGCGUCACUGCGGGACAGACCCCCGGCUGCCUGACCGGCUGCCCGGCGGUACUCGCAAGGUAUCUGGCCGCAAAUAUUUGAACUGCGUCCGGCCCGUCGCAAGCGAGGCAAGUGUUUCCCGAAUGUACGGAUCUGAUGCCGUCAUCGGGCCUGGCCAGCUGUUGGUUGACGGUGUCCUAGGACUGGCUAUAAGAAUUAUGAUACCGGUCAGCGACGCUACUGCUUUGGGUACUUUCAGGA